rnacentral:rRNA from 1 species
AUUGAACGCUGGCGGCAGGCCUAACACAUGCAAGUCGAGCGGAUGAAGAGAGCUUGCUCUCUGAUUCAGCGGCUGACGGGUGAGUAAUGCCUAGGAAUCUGCCUGGUAGUGGGGGACAACGUUUCGAAAGGAACGCUAAUACCGCAUACGUCCUACGGGAGAAAGCAGGGGACCUUCGGGCCUUGCGCUAACACAUGAGCCUAAGUCGGAUUAGCUAGUAGGUGGGGUAAAGGCUCACCAAGGCGACGAUCCGUAACUGGUCUGGGAGGAUGAUCACUCACACUGGAACUGAGACACGGUCCAGACUCCUACUGGAGGCAGCAGUGGGGAAUAUUGGACAAUGGGCGAAAGCCUGAUCCAGCCAUUCCGCGUGUGUGAAGAAGGUCUUCGGAUUGUAAAGCACUUUAAGUUGGGAGGAAGGGCAGUAAGCUAAUACCUUGCUGUUUUGACGUUAACAACAGAAUAAGCACCGGCUAACUUCGUGCCAGCAGCCGCCGUAAUAC